GACGAACGCUGGCGGCGUGCUUAACACAUGCAAGUCGAACGAAAAGGCCCGGCGUUUGUGGCUUUCUCGAUUGGCGAACGGGGGAGUAACACAUGAGUAACCUCCCCUUAUCUUUGGGAGAUCUUCAGGAAACUGGGGCUAAUACCGCGUAUAAUAUCUUGCAGCACGUGGUGGGUUGGAAAGUUUCGGCUGUGGGGGAUGGACUCGCGGCUUAUCAGCUUGUUGGUGAGGUAGGGGUUUACCAAGGCUUUGACGGGUAGCCUGCCUGAGAGGGUGAACGGCCACAAUGGGACUAAGAUAGGGACCAGUCUCCUACCGGAGGCAGCAGUGGGGAAUAUUGCACAGCGGGGGGAAGUGUGAUGUAGCAACGCCGCGUGCGGGAUGCCCGCUUUCGGGUUGUAAACCGAUUUGGACUGUGAUGAAGCGUGAGUGACGGUACUGGGUCAAGAAGCACCGGCUAACUACGUG
rnacentral:rRNA from 1 species